ACGGAGGGUGCAAGCGUUAAUCGGAAUUACUGGGCGUAAAGCGCACGCAGGCGGUUUGUUAAGUCAGAUGUGAAAUCCCCGGGCUCAACCUAGGAACUGCAUCUGAUACUGGCAAGCUUGAGUCUCGUAGAGGGGGGUAGAAUUCCAGGUGUAGCGGUGAAAUGCGUAGAGAUCUGGAGGAAUACCGGUGGCGAAGGCGGCCCCCUGGACGAAGACUGACGCUCAGGUGCGAAAGCGUGGGGAGCAAACAG
rnacentral:rRNA from 1 species